rnacentral:rRNA from 1 species
UACGGGGGGGGCAAGCGUUGUUCGGAAUUACUGGGCGUAAAGGGCUCGUAGGUGGCCAACUAAGUCAGACGUGAAAUCCCUCGGCUUAACCGGGGAACUGCGUCUGAUACUGGAUGGCUUGAGUUCGGGAGAGGGAUGCGGAAUUCCUGGUGUAGCGGUGAAAUGCGUAGAUAUCAGGAGGAACACCUGCGGUGUAGACGGCUUACUGGACCACGACUGACGCUGCAACUCGAAAGUGUGGGGAGCAAACAGG